AAUCUAUGGUGUGGGUAUUUUUUAAUCAACAUUUUGAACCAUUCCCAUGUCUCAUAGAAACUUUCUCCCUCCAUUUGUCCAAAAACAUCAAUCUCUCUUCUUAGUUG
rfam:Gossypium hirsutum cultivar TM-1 unplaced genomic scaffold scaffold729.1, whole genome shotgun sequence